CGUGCGCAGGUCGUCCCCUCCCCGAGCCACACUGGGGGCUGGAGACCAAACGGACCGUGUCUAGAACUCCACACCAGGAAGCAGAGGACAAGGACUCGGACAUUCGGAGAGGUUAGCGCAUCACCAGAAGACAACAGAGACGGUGAAGAGUGGGGUGAAAACCCGGCUCAACUCUGAGGCCAGAGACUGUGCUUCCAUCCAAUUGCUGAGCUCAGCGACGGGCAGCGGAGUCGCCAGGCCCUAAGAACGUCCUGGGGCCCACAUGGAGAGAAGCGCAAGGUCAGGACCCGAGCCAUGAGCAGGUGUCUGCAGACAACACUGCUGUCCUAGGGGACAGCGCCUCUCCUGCCUUCUGGGUCCUGCUGCUUCCCACCCUGAGACGUGGCGUUUGUCCUAAGACUGGCGGACUAUCCCCACUGGCUAUGGAUGAGCACAUGACCCAGGCUGGAGUGGUCCCAGUCGCUCGGAUCCAUGGUCAUGGUCCCUGUACAGAAUUUGUGGCUUGAGACCAAAACUGGACCCAUCUUCACCCAUGCCUGGAACUUGAACACACAGCAAACCUCUCUCUCUUUUCUGGAUUUUCUCUCUGUCUAGGGUGCAUGUGGCAAGGGAGGCCUCUGUCCUGGGCAAGGAGGAGACGAGGGAAGAGCAUCGGGGGGUCCCCGCACUGCACGUCCACUCCGAGAGCCCAGCUAUCCUGACGGAGGACCCCCUCCUGUCCUUGUUGUCAGUGGGCUGAAAUAAGUCCUUCAUUGCUCUGCUUUAGUCUCUUGAGCUAAGAGCCAGGAUAAUCUCACUCGGAAGAGUCCUCUCUGACUUCAGUUUUGCAAAAGCCACGCCUGGGACUUCACACACUGAAGUCCAGAAGUCAGCAGGCCUUUCCAGAAGACAGGUGUUUCAGGGACCCCACCAGCCCUAAAGCGGAGGUGCCUGGUCCUGAGACUGCUCAGCCCCAGACCAAUGGGGAUAGUGGUCUCCCUGGCAAUAGAGCAAACAUGAGGCCGUCAAGCUGAUAAAGCCUUUCCCCCACACAGGGCAUUCUCUAGAAUUGCUUUCCUGGGGUAGGGUCACUGAGGACCCAGAGGACACAGAGCAGUGUGGUUGCUGGUCUUGGUUGUGUAAGAUAGUCCUUAGGAGGGCAGUGGAUGUUCAGAAUUCCUCUUGCGUUUCCGUGACUUGCCCACCAGAUGCACAGCGGGUGCAGGCCGGGAUGUCCAGGUGCCCGGGGAUGGGUGGCCCUCCCACAUCGGGGCUUGUGGUUCUCACCGCAAUAGCCCAGUGGGCUGGGCAGGUAUGUCAGUGUCUGGGGACCCGGCCGGCCCACAUGCUGUGCACAUGUGCGUCCCUGGGUGGUUUCCCCAGCUUUGUGUUUGGGGAGGCAGAGAAGGGGCCAAAUUCCCUGGACUUUUGAUGAUAUUGAGCUUGUCACUUGAGUAGCUUUUUUUAAAAAUGUACCUAACAUAAUGACUGCAUUAAUACCAGCAUGCUGAAAGAUAAACUAAUAACCAAAUACAUCCGUUAAUUUUUUAAGUGUUUGUAGCACAAACGUAAUUGGAAACAACCUCACUGAAGGGGGAAAAAUGAUUUUUAUGCCCCAAGCAAAACACACACAAA